CCUACGGGAGGCUGCAGUGAGGAAUCUUGGUCAAUGGACGAGAGUCUGAACCAGCCAAGUAGCGUGAAGGAUGACUGCCCUAUGGGCUGUAAACUUCUUUUAUAUGGGAAUAAAAUGUUCCAAGUGUGGGUUUUUGUCUGUACCAUAUGUAUAAGGAUCGGCUAACUUCGCGCCAGCAGCCGCGGUAAUACGGAGGUUCCGAGCGUUAUCCGGAUUUAUUGGGUUUAACGGGAGCGUAGGUGGGUUGUUAAGUCAGUUGUGAAAGUUUGCGGCUCAACCGUAAAAUUGCAGUUGAAACUGGCAGUCUUGAGUACAGUAGAGGUGGGCGGAAUUCGAGGUGUAGCGGUGAAAUGCGUAGAUAUAACGAAGAACUCCGAUUGCGAAGGCAGUUCACUGGACUGCAACUGACACUGAGGCGCGAAAGUGUGGGUAUCAAACAGGAUUAGAUACCCUGGUAGUC
rnacentral:rRNA from 1 species